GAUGAACGCUGGCGGCGUGCCUAAUACAUGCAAGUCGAGCGGACAGACGAGGAGCUUGCUCCGCUGACGUUAGCGGCGGGCGUGUGAGUAACGCGUGUAUCACGUACCUGUCAGUCGGAUAAAACUUCGGGAAUGCGGCUCUUAUAGGGUAGGAGAUACUGCAGCGUGGUGGGCGAUGGUGAGAGUCGGCGUUUGGGGCAGUAAUAGAGGCAUAUGCGCCGGAUGAGGUAGUUGGUGAGGUAAAAGGCUUCCAAGGCAAGCAUGCGUAGACGAACGCAGAGGGUGAUAGGCCACACUGGAACUGAGACACGGACCAGACGCCUGCGGGAGGGAGCAGUAGGGAAUCUUACGCAAUGGGCGAAAGCAUGACGGAGCAACGCCGCGUGAGUGACGAAGAUCUUCGGAUCGUAAAACUCUGUUAUUAGGGAAGAACAAAUGUGUAAGUAAAUAUGCCCGUAUUGACGGUAACUAAUAAGAAAGCAACGGCUAACUACGUG
rnacentral:rRNA from 1 species